GCCUCUUGAUUAAACAUAAGAGGUCCAGCCUGCCCAGUGACAUAGUUUAACGGCCGCGGUACCCUAACCGUGCGAAGGUAGCAUAAUCACUUGUUCUUUAAAUAGGGACUCGUAUCAACGGCAUCACGAGGGCUAUACUGUCUCCUUUCUCCAAUCAAUGAAACUGAUCUCCCCGUGAAGAAGCGGGGAUUAACCUAUAAGACGAGAAGACCCCAUGGAGCUUCAAACUCAAUAUACACCUCUACGCACCCAAAUCACUUUAGCCCAAGAGAUCUGUAUAUUGGUUUUGGGUUGGGGGGACCGCGGAGUAAAAAUUAACCUCCACGACAAACGGGCUUUACGCCCUUAUCCACGAACUACAGCUCUAAGAAUCAAUAAACUGAUGUUUAUGACCCGAUUAUUCGAUCAACGAACCAAGUUACCCUGGGGAUAACAGCGCAAUCUACUUCAAGAGCCCCUAUCGACAAGUAGGUUUACGACCUCGAUGUUGGAUCAGGGUAUCCUAGUGGUGCAGCCGCUACUAAAGGUUCGUUUGUUCAACGAUUAAAACCCUACGUG
rnacentral:rRNA from 1 species